rnacentral:lncRNA from 1 species
UGUAACAGAUUGGAGCAGAUUUGUAUGCCUCCUGAACAAUUUGAUCAUUAGACUGGUUUUCCAACCAGAGUCAUAUCGAUAACCUAAUAAUCAUUCUCUGCAUAAAUCUUUAAUAAAUAAUAUAGGCAUUCCUUUUCUUUUAGCGAUUUCAUCUUCCAGGAGGAUAAACAAAUGAGGACCUUACAGUGCAAAGGUCAAUGUCCAAUUUGUUUUUGUGGCUGACAGAUUUAGAGAAACUGCAAUCACUUUCUGCAACAAAUUAUUCCAGUACAUGGUAAUGCUAGUGGAACACAUUGGACUGACGAAUGCAUUAUACCUCCCCGACCCUCUUGAUUCAUGACAAUUAAAAUCAAAACAGAUAUCCUGGACACUUGCUGGAAAACAACACCUAGAACACCUGUAUAAAGACUCGAAAUUGUGA